rnacentral:rRNA from 1 species
UACAGGGGGUGCAAACGUUGCUCGGAAUCAUUGGGCGUAAAGCGCACGUAGGCGGUCUGUUAUGUCGGAUGUGAAAGCCCUUGGCUCAACUGAGGAAGUGCAUCCGAAACUGGCAGGCUAGAGUACUAAAGAGGAUCGCGGAAUUCCCGGUGUAGAGGUGAAAUUCGUAGAUAUCGGGAGGAACACCGGUGGCGAAGACGGCGAUCUGGGUAGAUACUGACGCUGAGGUGCGAAAGCGUGGGGAGCAAACAGG